GACGAACGCUGGCGGCGUGCUUAACACAUGCAAGUCGAACGGAAAGGCCCUGCUUUUGUGGGGUGCUCGAGUGGCGAACGGGUGAGUAACACGUGAGUAACCUGCCCUUGACUUUGGGAUAACUUCAGGAAACUGGGGCUAAUACCGGCUAGGAGCUCCUGCUGCAUGGUGGGGGUUGGAAAGUUUCGGCGGUUGGGGAUGGACUCGCGGCUUAUCAGCUUGUUGGUGGGGUAGUGGCUUACCAAGGCUUUGACGGGUAGCCGGCCUGAGAGGGUGACCGGCCACAUUGGGACUGAGAUACGGCCCAGACUCCUACGGGAGGCAGCAGUGGGGAAUAUUGCACAAUGGGCGGAAGCCUGAUGCAGCAACGCCGGGUGCGGGAUGACGGCCUUCGGGUUGUAAACCGCUUUCGCCUGUGACGAAGCGUGAGUGACGGUAAUGGGUAAAGAAGCACCGGCUAACUACGUG
rnacentral:rRNA from 1 species